AAUGAGGAAUAAAUGGGGACGGAUUUUUUUGGAGAAUUCAAGUGUUGGAACAAAUAUGUUCUUUUAUUGGUUAUUACAUGAUACUACUAGUAUUCAUUUGUUGAAAAAUUUCACAAAGCAUAUGUUGGACAUUGGUAACACAUAUUGCUGGGAAAUAUGGUAGCGCUUAGGAACAAUCUUUGUAGGUGUUUCAUGAGUGUCCCUUGCCGGCAUGAUGUGCUUGAACAUCUAUAAUCUUUAUAUCUAUUUUACAAUUUUUAUAACUAUUUAUAAAGUGGAUAGGGAUUUGAGGAUUUGGGCUGACCUAUUUUUCUUUCAUAAUUACCCUUUAACUACUUCUAUAUUUACUAAAAAGAUUAUAUCAAUAACUACUUUCACAAUAGAAAGAGAAGUAACAAAUACUUGACCAAUAACCAUCCCACGUGGUCUCUUCCUCCCUCUAUAGUCUUCUCUUUUCCAAUUCAUUUCUAGAAGACUCUUUCUUUCUUGAACCUCAUGCUCCUCAAACAAAUAUUUACUUUAUAGUGAUUGAUAUUCUUCGUAUCAUUAAUCAUGUAAAUAUUAUAUGUCACGUAAAGUCAGUUGCACCUUUAAAUUCACAACAAAUUGAUCAUCGAUUUCAUUCACAUUAACAAUGUUAAAGCACAUGAAAUUCAAGUACUCUAAUCUAUAAAUAUUUAUUUUAUUCAAUUAUAUUAAUUAUAUGUCACAUUUAAAAUAAAAUUAACUUACUAUAUAUAUACACAUAUAAAAUGUUAUUGUAUGGAUAAUAUAAAUUAAAAUUAAAUAAAAAUUCUGUUUAUAUUUUAACGCGUGAGUAUAUUUCAAAAACGAAUAAACCAAACAUAUGUUUAGACGCUAAUAAUAUUAAUAAUAAUAGAUGUAGUAAAUAAAAAUUGCAUAACAUGAAGGGUCAAUCCCUCCAUAGUUAAGUCGUAUUAUCUAUCAAAUAAAUAAUCAACUUCCACUCCGGUCAAUAAAAUUGCAUAACAUGAAGGGUCAAUCCCUCUAUAGUUAAGUCGUAUUAUCGACCAAAUAAAAAUCAACUUCCCCUCCGCCAGGGACAAUUUCAUAUCAGUUUUUAUUCUUUUAUAUAUUUUAUCUUUUAAAAUGAGAUCCUCCAAAUUUUUAAACCCUACACUAAAGAUAUGUUUGGAUUUGCCCCGGACCGGCCCAUUGAAUAGCAGAAGCAUUGGUUAUUUAUGACUAUACCUCCUUGAAAACCUUCUUCAAUACAAUACGAUUUGCAUACAUCUUGAAUGGAUUCACUACCUUCUGUUCCCACUACCAUCUCUGUA
rnacentral:lncRNA from 1 species